rnacentral:rRNA from 1 species
UCCGUGAGGGGGAAGUUGAAAAGCACUUUGAAGAGAGAGUUAAAGAGGACGUGAAACCGAUGAGAUGGAAACGGACAGAGCUAGCGUAUCUGGCCUGCAUUCAGCUUGUGCGGUCGCUACCGAUGAAUCGCUGAUCUCCAGAUUGGGACUGUUGACUAGUCGGUCGGUGGCUGUAUAGUGCAUUUGCAGGUGGAGUGCGUCGAGGCAUCCGGGAUGGCGGCAUGAACUCAGCUUUGAGGCCAGCUUGCUGGUACCCGGGCUGGGGGACUUUGUGCUGUUCGUUCUGGGUGUUCACACACAAUUGAAGGGGGCUUUGGUAGGGUGCCGAGCUGGGUGUCGGUGGCGGUCGCUUGCGACACGUACUGUGCACACAGUUCGGUCCUUGCCGAGCUCACUCCAUCUAUCUCGGCGUAAAAGCUGGUCAUCUUUCCGACCCGUCUUGAAACACGGACCAAGGAGUUUAUCGUGUGCGCGAGUCAUUGGGCGUCAACCCAAGGCAGG